AUUUACUUCCUGCGGGUGCACAGGCUGUGGUCGUCUAUCUCCCUGUUGUUCUUCCCAUCGGCGAAGAUGGCCCUGGAGACGGUGCCGAAGGACCUGCGGCAUCUGCGGGCCUGUUUGCUGUGUUCGCUGGUCAAGGUACUAUAGACCAGUUUGAAUAUGAUGGUUGUGACAAUUGUGAUGCAUAUCUACAAAUGAAGGGUAACCGAGAGAUGGUAUAUGACUGCACUAGCUCUUCCUUUGAUGGAAUCAUUGCGAUGAUGAGUCCAGAGGACAGCUGGGUCUCCAAGUGGCAGCGAGUCAGUAACUUUAAGCCAGGUGUAUAUGCGGUGUCAGUCACUGGUCGCCUGCCCCAAGGAAUCGUGCGGGAGCUGAAAAGUCGAGGAGUGGCCUACAAAUCCAGAGACACAGCUAUAAAGACCUAGCAAGAUGCAAGGCUGCCAGCAUCUUUGCUCUCCACCUCCUGCCUCUGCUUAUUUCUUGUUCUGGAACUAAAUGAACAGAACUUCAAAUACUUCCUACCCUCCAAUUCAGACUCAGCUGACUGUUGAGAGAGCAGCACAUCAUUUUAUCAUUUUAUCUUCUUUGGACUACAGGUGGGGUGGGAGGGAUUUGGGUUGGUGGAUUAACAGAUGGAAUUGAGGAGAGAGUAGGAUGCUGAUUUUCCUACCCGUGGCCCAGGUCUGUGCCUUCCCCAUGCCAAGGACUCUAGGUCAAAUGUCAAUAAAUAUGAACCUCGAGAAAGUUCUGAAGGCCAUGACACCUGCCUUGCCUCCCUCUUCCAUUCUCUUAGGCACAGUAAUAGCUUAUUUGCCCUAUAAGAACCUUCCCAGAGCAGCAGAGGCCCUUCUACUCCCUCUUGACUGUCUCAGCCUCUGGGAUUGCAGCCUUUGUAGUGUGCUUCCUUGCUUCCUAUCGGAGGGUGCUGAUCCAGAGGCUCAGUAACCCCAUCAACUUGGUGGCCCUGGUGUCUCACACUUGUAUCCUUCUGCCCUCGAGACCUGGCACAGCAGUAUCCCUUGAAGAAAUCCUGAGGCUUUGUAGAGUGCUCCUUGACCAUGUUUAAUAAUUCUUCCCUCCCCUGCUUGUCUAUUUUCUUCUCUUCACGGCUCUUCCUAUACCUUAGGCCAGUCUCAAGCACUCACUGGAGACCCUUGGGCCUUGGGCGACCAUUGAGUCCUAGUCUCCCUUGUUUGUGCCCCUGUAGGAGGUAGGUCCUUUUCUCCUCCGGCCUAGUAGGGGACCUUGGGUAACAUCCCAUUUUUCGGCCAAGGUGAGUUGUUUUAGGAUAAAAAAAUUUACCACAAAUUCUCAUUUAAAUUUCCACAGAAAUCCUGUUCGUAUCCCCAUUUUGAUUUCCCUAAGUUCCUUGUUCUCCCUCUAAAAAGAGAAUGAUUGCACCCUGCCUGUUUACCUCAGGAUUGUUGUGAUUGUAGAAACGAAGCUAUGUGAAAAUUAUAUAAGUAUUAUAAAGGUGAAAUACUUUUGCUCUC